rnacentral:rRNA from 1 species
GACGGGGGAUGCGAGCGUUAUCCGGAAUGAUUGGGCGUAAAGGGUCCGCAGGUGGCCCGGUCAGUCCGCUGUCAAAGCCUGGGGCUCAACCCUGGAGAGGCGGCGGAGACCACCGGGCUUGAGUCCGGUAGGGGCAGAGGGAAUUCCCGGUGGAGCGGUGAAAUGCGUAGGGAUCGGGAAGAACAUCGGUGGCGAAGGCGCUCUACUGGACCACAACUGACACUCAGGGACGAAAGCUAGGGGAGCGAAUGGG